CUGACUCGCAGGUUCUGCAAACAGGAGGGUAAAUUAAGACGUCGCUGAUUCCUCGAACAGCUAAACCAACAUUGUGAACAGCCGCGCUGCUCCCCUACUGUCCUCUGCUGCCACACAGCCACAGACCAGAAGCACAAAUGAGGUCAAAUCCACGACACGGCAGAACGAGGAGAAACCUCUGAGGAUUAACGUCUCAACACUCGACUCCAGGUCCCACCAGAAGACUGUCAGACGCAUUAAAUAAGCAAUUACUGUGAGAGCAUAUUAGUGAACUUGUGGGGAAGUGUGCGUGAGGCGGACUGAACUCACUGGCGAGGAUCUGGAAGGUUCCGGUGAGGAAGAAGCGUCCGCCCUUCUGCAAAGUGAAGAGCUGGAUGAAGAAGAGGAAGAGGGACAGGCAGCUGAAGAUGAUGGACAGGAUCAUGAGAGCCUGGACCGCCUGGAUCCACUCUGCAGAGGGGAGGAAGGAGGAGUGCACCACAUACAGGAAACCAUGGCAGAGACUUCCUGCUGUUGACUUGCUCCUGAGGGUUCAAGUCAAACACAAUGCUGUUUGCUCAGCAGCGAGAGCUCCUCAGCUCGCCGUGACCUACAGUGCGGUUGUAAAACAUCACACCUAAAUCAAAGUGCAAGUUACACACACCCUACUCGGAGGGGUUUAUCUCUAUGGUCACUCCCUCCCACCCGGCAGGAAUCUAGUAAAAACUAAUUUGUGGAGA